AUACGGAGGGUCCGAGCGUUAAUCGGAAUUACUGGGCGUAAAGCGUACGUAGGUGGCUUGAUUAGUCGGAUGUGAAAGCCCUGGGCUCAACCUGGGAACUGCAUUCGAUACUGUCAGGCUAGAGGAUAGUAGAGGGAAGUGGAAUUCCGGGUGUAGCGGUGAAAUGCGUAGAUAUCCGGAGGAACACCAGUGGCGAAGGCGGCUUCCUGGACUAAUACUGACACUGAGGUGCGAAAGCGUGGGUAGCAAACAGGAUUAGAAACCCCUGUAGUCC
rnacentral:rRNA from 1 species